rnacentral:ncRNA from 2 species
CCAACUCUCGCGGGAGAGGCCGGGUCAUCGCAUCCGGCGCCGAAGGCGCAACCGCCCCGGAAACGCUCAGGCAAAAGGACCGCGACGGGCUG